rnacentral:rRNA from 1 species
GAGACGGUUCUCUAAGAGGCCCGUCAUCGGAAUGGGUACAAUUUAAAUCCUUUAACGAGGAACAAUUGGAGGGCAAGUCUGGUGCCAGCAGCCGCGGUAAUUCCAGCUCCAAAAGCGUAUAUUAAAGUUGUUGCGGUUAAAAAGCUCGUAGUUGGAUCUGCGCCUUAGGCUUGCGGUCCCCUAAAUGGGAGGUACUGCUUUGCCUGGGCUAUGGUCUCUGGUUUUCCCUUGGUGCUCUUUACCGAGUGCUCUGGGUGACUGGAAUUUUUACUUUGAAAAAAUUAGAGUGCUCAAAGCAGGCUGUCAGCCUGAAUAGUGGUGCAUGGAAUAAUGGAAUAGGACUUCGGUUCUAUUUUGUUGGUUUUCGGAGCUCGAAGUAAUGAUUAAGAGGGACAGACGGGGGCAUUCGUAUUGCGACGUUAGAGGUGAAAUUCUUGGAUCGUCGCAAGACGUACUACUGC